AUCCUGCACAGUAAUUGGAGGUGUCCCGGUGUAGGGGAGCCACUGCAGGGACUGAUUCUGCAUCAGGUCUGGGAAAUCUGCUUCUGAAUACUGUUAAACUCUUGUGUUUUCCUGGAUACAACAAAAAGCAUAGAAGUUCCAUGACAGACCUUUUAUGUUUAGGUUUUAUUUUUUAAAUUCUGUAUGAAAAUUAUCUAUGAGUGUAUUUCUUACCAACUGUCUAGAUGACAUACGCCUAACGUAGUGAUGUUUUUCCUUCCUACCAGGUUUUUGCUGAAGAGGGUUUGAAGCUUGCUUCAAGUGUGCAAGCUUUCUCAAAACAGCUGAAAGAUGAUGAUAAGCUUAUGCUUCUCCUGGAAAUAAACAAGCUUGUUCCUCUGUGCCACCAGCUCCAGGCAGUAACUAAGACACCUUUGCAGAAUCAAGUGUUUCUAAAGGUUGAUAAGAGUAUUACAAAGACAAGAUGCAUAAUGGCUACUUUGGUCCAACUUCUGUCGCUUUGCUAUAAACUGCUGAAGAAACUUCAAAUGGACAACAACAGAUGAGUCUCAGUUACAAAUAAAGAUUCUGUGGAUGGUAAAACUUGAGAAGCUUUUGAGGUCAGAUCUCUGGAACAUCAUGUGGCAAAGCUGACAUUUUUAGAAAGCAAACGAUCCUUUAUAUUUCAGAAAUACAACAAUUUUGUAAAGAAAACAAACUGA